CUGAGAAGGUCAGCGAUUUUUUUUUUCAAGUUGGUCUCAUUAACAAUAAUUAUUUUAUGCAUAGCAACAAGAAUUUGAGGCCACUUUCGACAAAACAGAAUGCCACUUUAAAGAAGCUGAAAGAGCAAGGCAGCAAAGGAAACAGGAGGGAGGGCGAGGGGGGAGUAGCUCCUUCAGGAAACUGAAAUUAAAGGCAGCUGUGGUGGUGUGUUCCCGUCAUCCCAGCAGGAGUAGCAGAAGCAGGAGGAUUGCUGCAAGUCUGAGGCCAGUGUGGGGAAUACACCAGCCACACAGGAGCAAGACAAGCAAAGAACAAGGAAAGCCAAGGAUGGGCAGUGUAAGUGAGCACAGACCGCGGUUCCGAGGCUCCUAGCUGACGGGGAACUCAGAAGUGACAUCAUUCUUGCUGUAUAAAAGGAGGCGCACAGUUUUAAGGAUUGUGGAAAGAUUUGGAGCUAUGGACUAGGAAAGAAGUUGGACACGGUUGCAAUGAAAAAGAGAAAGUGGGCCAGAAAGAAAUACAUAAUGUCCAGUCUGAAGAGAAAAGGGCACCAGGAAACUAAAUGUUGCUGAAAGAGAUAUGGAGAUUGUAGCAAGUAUCUUAACAAGUCUUAUUAAUAAAAUCAAACCUAAGCCAGGUAUUGGGGUGAACACUGGAAGAUCAGAGAAGCAGAAC